rnacentral:misc_RNA from 1 species
GAUGAAGAACGCAGCGAAAUGCGAUAAGUAAUGUGAAUUGCAGAAUUCAGUGAAUCAUCGAAUCUUUGAACGCACAUUGCGCCCAUUAGUAUACUAGUGGGCAUGCCUGUUCGAGCGUCAUUUCAACCCUCAAGCCUUAGUUGCUUGGUGUUGGGAGCUUAUCUUGCCGAAAGGCGGGACAACUCCUUAAAUUUAUCGGCGGAGUCGCGGUGACCCCAAGCGUAGUAAAUUAUUUUUUCCUCGCUUUAGGUGUUAACGCUGGCUUUUCUAGCCGUUAAACCCCCCCUAAUAUUUUAAUGGUUGACCUCGGAUCAGGUAGGACUACCCGCUGAACUUAAGCAUAUCAAUAAGCGGAGGA